rnacentral:lncRNA from 1 species
AAUCAGCUUGCUGGAACGCUUGCAGAGUGGCAAAGUGCAGGAGACAUUCUUCUUUUCAAUAGGCUGAGGCUGCAUGUGCUUGGACUGUAAGCCACAAGGAAAGGUAAUUGCCAUUUUGCAAAUCUGCAUGUGGAAAAUGUUUUUUGUAAAGAGCUGUUAAUUAACAUGAAUCUCCCUCUUACAGGUCUAUACUGCUUUUAUGUAUUUUCUCUGUGGAAAAAUCUGUCUGUUAACUGGGGGAGUUUGAUGUUCCAGUGUUUUAUUUCACGAUCCAUGUUCUGGCAUAUUAAGAAAGGUGUCACAGCUCUAGAAAAUGCUUCUGGAUUAAGGACUCUGUAGUAUAGCUGAGGGCUUGGUGCACAAACACUACUCUGCCAUAAAGCAGUAGAUUAUCCCUGAUUGAACGAAUGAAGUGGAGCAUGCAAAUAAUUCCCUAGUGAUUUAAAGAUUUGUUAGGCCUGAUGUCCAACGAGCAUUUCCAUGUCUGUUGAAUGAGACAAAUAAUGAGCAACUCUUUGGAGGCCAUUUGCAUGGCACAAUCAAUUUCACUGAACUGAAAAAAACUGAUUAUCAAAUUUCUUAACUAAUUCGGUGCUUAGUAAAUAACUAUUUAUAUGUAUGCAGGCAUCUGUUUUGUGGAGUAUUCUCAGUCUCACCCUGAUCAGAAUAGUCUUUGUAGAAAACCUGACAUUUUAUGAUAAAAAUCAAUACACUGAUAACUUGUCAGGUUUCUGUUACCAUAACAUUAAGAAAAGCUGGAGUGUUUUUUGCCAAGAAACGGAGAUUUUGACAUUUAGGGUGAAAGCGGUGGCAUUUUGACAUUCCAGUGAAAAAAGUCCCAAAGAAAGCAGACACCAUCCAUGAAAAGUUUUCAUCUUUCUGUCUUUAUGUGCAGGAUUUGCUAAAGAUGCAGAUCCAUGUUAGCCCUAUAUCAUGUGAAGGCUGGUGUACAUUUCUGCUAUAUCUUUUUAGUUCUUGUCCAUCUGCUUGACAGAAGAAAGCUUACUUCAUGUUUCACACUUGAAAUGAAAGCUGAUGUAAUUUAUGAGACAAUCAGGAGAGAACAGCAGUGUAAGCAUGUGUACUUCAUUAGGAUCAAUAUCCGUAAGAGCUAAAGUCUGUCCUCCAUCAAGAUGGACACUGUGAGAAAGUGAGUUUCAUGGUAUAGCCUUCGAACCUGGCUGCCAGUCAUCCAGCCUGGAAAAUGUGUUACAGCUAACUGCAGCUUGUUCUUCCUUUCCUGUCUUUGCAUGCUGUGUUUUCUUUCUCAGGGCAAUCCAGGGAGAGCCACAUGGAUGGCACCUGCCUUGAACCAUAGUCACAGCUGUUGGAGCAUGAGAGGGUGAAGGGUUGCUAGAAGGCUUGGUCUGUCUCUGUAGUACAGUUUACUGUGGAUAGAAUUGUGUAAGUGAAUAAAUAAUAAUAGGGGAUCAGCUCUGUUCCUUCUCACAGGAUCCUCAAGGUAUAGAGGAUGAAUUACGUAAUGCAGGAAUAGAACUGGAGGUGUGACGCUUGCAUAGAUAUGUGUAGCUGGUCUCUUGGAGCUUGAAUCUGUCUCCUCUGGGCUAGCUGUUGAGUGAUAGGUUAUGGCUAGCCAGCACAUACAGCAUAAAUGUACCUCCAGGGUACACUCAGUCUGGUGAGAGAAAUGAUCAUAAUCCAGUAAUUUAGGUUAACUUAACAUUUACUGAUAAGCAUGUGUGUAUACGUUAGCACUGGAACGUGCUAUUUGUAAUACUUAAAUUGAGCUGCCUUUCUUCUUCUUCGGUGUAAUUAAUCCCGUGAGUCUCGCUUGAAGGAAAAAAAGAUGAAAAAUGAUUACUUAGAUCAUGGUGCCCUGUGCUUUUGGAGGGCAGCUGUGCCCUGGCAUAUGGUCCAUGUCUAAAUCUACCUGGCGGUUGUUGAUGGCUUUAGGGGAGAGGUCCAUUUUGUAAACUCUUCCUGAUGCUGUAAUUGUUUUUCGUAUUAAUCAUCCAUGCCUUCGUUCGCCUUGCUAUUUGGGGAUGAUGUACUUUAAGAAAUACACGGAAGGGUCUCAUUUGCCUCACAGUCCUUUUUCAGAAUUUAAACGUUGGCAGAGGUAGAAAAUCCAAUCAUUAAUCAGGUGUUUUAUAAAUGGCAUUGCUCGAGUGUAUCUGCAUUUGUCACUUGUGAAAACUGGCAUGGAGGGAAAUCCUGAGAAGUUAACAAUGCUCCUUUAAUGUGUUUUUUUUUUGUAGUGGUUCCAUGGCUCUUUCAGAACUGGGUUGCUCUGGCCAUGGUUCCCUGUAUUUCUCUGGGACAGUAGGUGUGAAAACUCCUAUGCUACAGUGGAUGUUGCAAUCUAGCGUGAAAAGCAGACUGAAGAGAUGUGUCUAAUUUAACUGUGUGUGUGGAAUGGUAAGAAUGAGUGCCUAUUUACAUAUACACAAACAUGCAUAAACCUAGGUUGUAAUUGUGGGAAUGCUCAGAGCACCCUAGGGUUGCUAGGACAGAAACAGAUACAGUAACCACAACAGAAAAGAACCGCUUUCUGGCUUAAUUUCGAGAAGGGGGGAGUGUUACUCCAAGUCCAGAUCUGGUGAUUUGAACAUAUGCAUUGUGUAAAGUCAAGCUGUGUGCAGUACAUAUUGCUGGCACCUUCAGGCAUUUCAUAUGCAUGUGGUGCAGUGUUACAGGUUCUGGCCUAUUUUUCAGAGCCAAAUUCUAUAUACUCAGCUGGCAGUGAUCAAAAAAAUGUGAUUUGGCUGAAUGGAUUUUGGCAUAGGCAUUCUGAAGCCCC